AUUGAACGCUGGCGGCGUGCCUAACACAUGCAAGUCGAACGAGUGGCGGACGGGUGAGUAAUGUCUGGGAAUCUGCCCGAUGGAGGGGGAUAACUACUGGAAACGGUCGCUAAUACCGCAUACUAUCGGAUGUGCCCAUAUGGGAUUAGCUAGUAUGUGGGAUAAAGGCUCCCCUAGGCGACGAUCUCUAGCUGGUCUGAGAGGAUGACCAGCCACACUGGGACUGAGACACGGUCCAGACUCCUACGGGAGGCAUCAGUGGGGAAUAUUGCACAAUGGGCGCAAGCCUGAUGCAGCCAUGCCGCGUGUAUGAAGAAGGCCUUCGGGUUGGAAAGGACUUUCAGCGGGGAGGCGUUACCCGCAGAAGAAGCACCGGCUAACUCCGUGCCAGCAGCCGCGGUAAUUC
rnacentral:rRNA from 1 species